AUUUGAGUUAAAUUUAAAUUUUGAAAAAUCUAAUAGGUUAGGAUUUGAUGGGUAGUUCUUUUUUUAAAUAAACUCGAGAAGUGUGCUCUUAAAUUUUCUCUCACUCCUACCGUCCCUUUCCUCUUCUUGCUCACGUCAAUUUUUCUUUUCUUUUUCUUCCUUUCCCUUUUUGAUAUGGUAAAUUGUUGCACGUUAUCAUUCGUCGCCUUGUGCUUUUUGUUCGUUUUAGUCGAGCAAAUUUGGGUGUUUUAGCAUUGUGUUUACAUAAACUUGCGGAGAUCGGGAGGCGAUUAACCCUCCAACGAGCUAAGGGUUUGUAAGGCUGUUGUUUCUUUCAAGGGUAAGUGAUUAAUGCCCUAUUUAAGGUCGAAUCUCGGUGUUAAGGUCAAAUAGUUAGUGUUUGCGAUCGAAAAAUGUUUGGAUUUUUAGUAUGUCGCUAUUAAUUCAGUUGCUUUAAAUAUUAUUUUAGGGUUCGAAAUUUUGUCGUUGUGUUGCUAUUUAGAAAUGAUCAGGUGUGUAUCUUCUGUCCUGAAAAACAACGAAUGGUGCGAAGCUGAAAAUUAUUUUGUUGACACCACAUGAUCGUGUGCCAGACAGUGUGAGCCACACAGCCAAUAUAAUUAAUCUGCCUUAUUUGGUGGCUCAGCCACGUAUAUUUGUUUCUGGCGGGUUAUUGCAUUUUGAUCUGGCAGCUAGUUUGCAUAUAUUCUGUAAAGUGACAUAUGAUCACUUAACGGUGUGUGGGGCUGGAUUAGUAUUUAAUACCCUGUGAUGGUCGGAGAUGGUAUGUAGCGGAUGGGGGUAGGAUCUAAAUCUGUAUCUGUUAUGCAUCUGAAUCUAUAUUUGUUAUGCAUUUGUGUCUGUAUUUGCUUCCUAAUCUAUUAAAACAUGUGUAUCUGAUUUAUUGUUUGAACUAAGUUACACACUGAGCUCGUAAGCUCACUUUCUGUUUAUUUGUUUUCAUGUAAUCCUCAAACAUAAGACGGAUUGGUGUGACAGGAGCUCGAUUAUUUAUAUUUGCUUUGGAUUUUCCUUAA